GAACCCUUGGCACAGUGGUAGCGCGUGAGAUUCCAGCUGGGAAAUCCUCAAGGUCGUCCGUUCAAUCCGGGCAGGGUUCA